rnacentral:tRNA from 1 species
GAGGGUAUAGCUCAAGUGGUAGAGCACAUGCUUAGCGUGCACGAGGUCCUGGGUUCAAUCUCCAGUACCUUCA